rnacentral:rRNA from 1 species
UACGUAGGGACCGAGCGUUGUCCGGAUUCAUUGGGUUUAAAGGGAGCGUAGGCGGACUUAUAAGUCAGUGGUGAAAGCCGAUAGCUUAACUAUCGAAUUGCCAUUGAUACUGUAGGUCUAGAGUACAGAUGAUGUUGGCGGAAUAUGACAUGUAGCGGUGAAAUGCAUAGAUAUGUCAUAGAACACCGAUUGCGAAGGCAGCUGACAAAACUGUAACUGACGCUGAGGCUCGAAAGUGCGGGGAUCAAACAGG